AGAGUUUGAUCCUGGCUCAGGACGAACGCUGGCGGCGUGCCUAAUACAUGCAAGUCGAACGAACUCUGGUAUUGAUUGGUGCUUGCAUCAUGAUUUACAUUUGAGUGAGUGGCGAACUGGUGAGUAACACGUGGGAAACCUGCCCAGAAGCGGGGGAUAACACCUGGAAACAGAUGCUAAUACCGCAUAACAACUUGGACCGCAUGGUCCGAGCUUGAAAGAUGGCUUCAGCUAUCACUUUUGGAUGGUCCCGCGGCGUAUUAGCUAGAUGGUGGGGUAACGGCUCACCAUGGCAAUGAUACGUAGCCGACCUGAGAGGGUAAUCGGCCACAUUGGGACUGAGACACGGCCCAAACUCCUACGGGAGGCAGCAGUAGGGAAUCUUCCACAAUGGACGAAAGUCUGAUGGAGCAACGCCGCGUGAGUGAAGAAGGGUUUCGGCUCGUAAAACUCUGUUGUUAAAGAAGAACAUAUCUGAGAGUAACUGUUCAGGUAUUGACGGUAUUUAACCAGAAAGCCACGGCUAACUACGUGCCAGCAGCCGCGGUAAUACGUAGGUGGCAAGCGUUGUCCGGAUUUAUUGGGCGUAAAGCGAGCGCAGGCGGUUUUUUAAGUCUGGUGUGAAAGCCUUCGGCUCAACCGAAGAAGUGCAUCGGAAACUGGGAAACUUGAGUGCAGAAGAGGACAGUGGAACUCCAUGUGUAGCGGUGAAAUGCGUAGAUAUAUGGAAGAACACCAGUGGCGAAGGCGGCUGUCUGGUCUGUAACUGACGCUGAGGCUCGAAAGUAUGGGUAGCAAACAGGAUUAGAUACCCUGGUAGUCCAUACCGUAAACGAUGAAUGCUAAGUGUUGGAGGGUUUCCGCCCUUCAGUGCUGCAGCUAACGCAUUAAGCAUUCCGCCUGGGGAGUACGGCCGCAAGGCUGAAACUCAAAGGAAUUGACGGGGGCCCGCACAAGCGGUGGAGCAUGUGGUUUAAUUCGAAGCUACGCGAAGAACCUUACCAGGUCUUGACAUACUAUGCAAAUCUAAGAGAUUAGACGUUCCCUUCGGGGACAUGGAUACAGGUGGUGCAUGGUUGUCGUCAGCUCGUGUCGUGAGAUGUUGGGUUAAGUCCCGCAACGAGCGCAACCCUUAUUAUCAGUUGCCAGCAUUAAGUUGGGCACUCUGGUGAGACUGCCGGUGACAAACCGGAGGAAGGUGGGGAUGACGUCAAAUCAUCAUGCCCCUUAUGACCUGGGCUACACACGUGCUACAAUGGAUGGUACAACGAGUUGCGAACUCGCGAGAGUAAGCUAAUCUCUUAAAGCCAUUCUCAGUUCGGAUUGUAGGCUGCAACUCGCCUACAUGAAGUCGGAAUCGCUAGUAAUCGCGGAUCAGCAUGCCGCGGUGAAUACAUUCCCGGGCCUUGUACACACCGCCCGUCACACCAUGAGAGUUUGUAACACCCAAAGUCGGUGGGGUAACCUUUUAGGAACCAGCCGCCUAAGGUGGGACAGAUGAUUAGGGUGAAGUCGUAACAAGGUAACC
rnacentral:rRNA from 1 species